UAUGUACCAUAAAACAUCUAUAAAGCUCCUCAAAUCUAAAUUCGUCAAGUGGUUGAAACAAGACCACUUGAGGAAACAGAUGAGCGAUUGUAUGAAGGAGAGCUGGAAUUAAUUGAGGAUAUUCCAGAAAUAGACGAUGAACAAGUGCGUAUACUUGAUCAUGUUAUGAUGCGAAUCGAUCGUCAUUUAGAUGACAAUAGAAUGAAUAGAAGUGAUAGGUAUUUUGCACUUAAUCGAGACGCGACAUCGAGACGCGAGAUAUGUUUAGGAUGCUGUUUAUGCGAAGAAAGCGAGCACAAUCAUGGUUGUGUAACAACCGUGUGCCCGUACGUACAAGAACUAUUUGAACGGUGCCGCGGUUGUUGCUAAUGUAUAUAAAAAUUUGUAAAUAAUUGUAAAUUUGUAAAUAAAAAAUUCAUUUAUUAAAA